GACGAACCGUGCAAACGUUAUUCGGAAUCACUGGGCAUAAAGGGCGCGUAGGCGGCUUUCUAAGUCAGGGGUGAAAUCCGGCAGCUCAACUGUCGCAGUGCCUUUGAUACUGGAGAGCUCGAGGGAGGUAGGGGUCUGUGGAACUUCCGGUGGAGCGGUGAAAUGCGUUGAUAUCGGAAGGAACGCCGGUGGCGAAAGCGGGUCUCUGGGCCGUAACUGACGCUGAGGAGCGAAAGCAUGGGGAGCGAACAGG
rnacentral:rRNA from 1 species